rnacentral:rRNA from 1 species
CUACACCGGUGGCGAAGGCGGAUCUCUGCCGAUACUGACGCUGAGGAGCGAAAGCGUGGGCGAACAGGAUUAGAUACCCUGGUAGUCCACGCCGUAAACGGUGGGCACUUGGGCAACAUUCCACGUUGUCCGGCCGCAGCUAACGCAUUAAGUGCCCCGCCUGGGGAGUACGGCCGCAAGGCUAAAACUCAGGAAUUGACGGGGGCCCGCACAAGCGGCGGACAUGUGGCUUAAUUCGACGCAACGCGAAGAACCUUACCGCUUGACAUACACCGGAAAGCAUUAGAGAGUGCCCCCCUUGUGGUCGGUGUACAGGUGGUGUGGCUGUCGUCAGCUCGUGUCGUAAGAUGUUUAAGUCCCGCAACGAGCGCAACCCUUGUCCCGUGUUGCCAGCAACUCUUCGGAGGUUGGGGACUCACGGGAGACCGCCGCAACUCGGAGGA